AUUGAACGCUGGCGGCAGGCUUAACACAUGCAAGUCGAGCGGUAGCACAAGAGAGCUUGCUCUCUGGGUGACGAGCGGCGGACGGGUGAGUAAUGUCUGGGAAACUGCCUGAUGGAGGGGGAUAACUACUGGAAACGGUAGCUAAUACCGCAUAACGUCGCAAGACCAAAGAGGGGGACCUUCGGGCCUCUUGCCAUCAGAUGUGCCCAGCUGGGAUUAGCUAGUAGGUGGGGUAAUGGCUCACCUAGGCGACGAUCCCUAGCUGGUCUGAGAGGAUGACCAGCCACACUGGAACUGAGACACGGUCCAGACUCCUACGGGAGGCAGCAGUGGGGAAUAUUGCACAAUGGGCGCAAGCCUGAUGCAGCCAUGCCGCGUGUGUGAAGAAGGCCUUCGGGUUGUAAAGCACUUUCAGCGAGGAGGAAGGUGGUGAACUUAAUACGUUCAUCAAUUGACGUUACUCGCAGAAGAAGCACCGGCUAACUCCGUG
rnacentral:rRNA from 1 species